GCGGGGGUAGCCAAGCCAGGUCCAAAUCUUCGGGGUUUCCCGCCGAGUGGGCGUAGGCCCGCGCGGGUUCAAAUCCCGCCCCCCGCACCA
rnacentral:tRNA from 1 species